rnacentral:rRNA from 1 species
AUUGAACGCUAGCGGCAGGCCUAACACAUGCAAGUCGAACGAGUGGCGGACGGGUGAGUAAUGUCUGGGAAACUGCCUGAUGGAGGGGGAUAACUCCUGGAAACGGUAGCUAAUACCGCAUACCAUCAGAUGUGCCCAGAUGGGAUUAGCUUGUUGGUGGGGUAACAGCUCACCAAGCCGACGAUCCCUCGCUGGUCUGAGAGGAUGACCAGCCACACUGGAACUGAGAAACGGUCCAGACUCCGACGGUAGGCAGCAGUGGGGAAUAGUGCACAAGGGGAGCAAGCCUGAUGCAGCCAUGCCGCGUUGAUGAAGAAGGCCUUCGGGUUGUAAAGUAAUUUCAGCGGGGAGGCGUUACCCGCAGAAGAAGCACCGGCUAACUCCGUGCCAGCAGCCGCGGUAAUUC